AUACGGAGGGUGCAAGCGUUGUCCGGAUUUAUUGGGUUUAAAGGGUGCGUAGGUGGCGUGUUACGUCAGUGGUGAAAGCCUGCAGCUCAACUGUAGAGGUACCAUUGAUACUGACAUGCUUGAGUAUGGACGAGGUAGGCGGAAUUUGUGGUGUAGCGGUGAAAUGCAUAGAUACCACAAAGAACACCGAUAGCGAAGGCAGCUUGCUGGACCAUAACUGACACUGAGGCACGAAAGUGUGGGUAGCGAACAGGAUUAGAAACCCUUGUAGUCC
rnacentral:rRNA from 1 species